rnacentral:rRNA from 1 species
UACGAAGGGGGCUAGCGUUGCUCGGAAUCACUGGGCGUAAAGGGUGCGUAGGCGGGCCUUUAAGUCAGGGGGGAAAUCCUGGAGCUCAACUCCAGAACUGCCUUUGAUACUGGGGAUCUCGAGUCCGGAAGAGGUGAGUGGAACUCCGAGUGUAGAGGUGAAAUUCGUAGAUAUUCGGAAGAACACCAGUGGCGAAGGCGGCUCACUGGUCCGGUACUGACGCUGAGGUGCGAAAGCGUGGGGAGCAAACAGG